rnacentral:rRNA from 1 species
AGCGAACGCUGGCGGCAGGCUUAACACAUGCAAGUCGAGCGGGCACUUUCGGGUGUCAGCGGCGGACGGGUGAGUAACGCGUGGGAACGUGCCCUCUGGUUCGGAAUAACUCAGGGAAACUUGAGCUAAUACCGGAUACGCCCUUUUGGGGAAAGGCUUGCUGCCGGAGGAUCGGCCCGCGUCUGAUUAGCUAGUUGGUGAGGUAACGGCUCACCAAGGCGACGAUCAGUAGCUGGUCUGAGCGGAUGAUCAGCCACACUGGGACUGAGACACGGCCCAGACUCCUACGGGAGGCAGCAGUGGGGAAUAUUGGACAAUGGGCGCAAGCCUGAUCCAGCCAUGCCGCGUGAGUGAUGAAGGCCUUAGGGUUGUAAAGCUCUUUUAUCCGGGACGAUAAUGACGGUACCGGAGGAAUAAGCCCCGGCUAACUUCGUG